rnacentral:lncRNA from 1 species
GGAAAAGAUAACAGGGAGCAGAGCCAAGCUUGAUUCCAUCCUGAAGUGGCUUCCCCAUGAAAGACAGCAGUAAUUAGAAAGAGAGAAAUCUUACAGGCAAAGGCUAUUCGACAUUUGGGAUUCCUAAGCUAAUCUUUUUAUUUUUGGAAGGGUGUCUUUCUGAGAAAGGCAGCCAGAGGCACAGCACCAACCUUUCUGACAGUGUGGUCUUCACACUGUUAGUUCUGACAAAGGGAGUCAAGGAGUCGUCCUUGGAGGAGGCGAUGAGGCCAGUGGAAGAAUUGUGGCUGGGGACCCCUCCACUGCUGAGGGAGAUGUCGAUGGACUCACAGCUGGUGUGGAGGCUGCUGACAGACUGAAAGCCCAGGCCAUCCUUGCUAACUGCGGAGGAGCUGCUGGCGUUGGUGCCCCAGGGCCAAGACAGCCCCGGCCUCUUACCAGUUCCUGGGGUCUUCAGUGCGCCUGCCGGGGCUGAAGGCUUCGUCCUUGGCAUGGUGAUGCCCACCUGAGCUGUCAUGCCUCGCCGCCAUGAGCCUGUCUGGGAGAUGACAGGAUUCUUCUUGCCCGACGUGCUUUUGUCGGACUCGUCAGACACAUCAGAAGGAUUCCGCCUCCACUUGGAACCUGGCUCCAUUUUUAUGCCGCUGUCUGAGCCUCCGUCUGAUUUCUUGACAUCAUCACCAGACCACAGGGAAUUCCUCUCCACCUGUGAGUGCUUCUCAGCAUCAGUCUGUGGACAGAGACUCUCUGAAUUAGUCCUUCCCCAGUCCCAGGCUGGGAAGCCCCUCACUCCAAAGGCAAAAAUGCCAAAACACUGGAGUAGUUAAGGGAAAAAUAAGCAUUACUUUAAAGAUGUUUGGACUUUUGUACUCUGGUUAUCUU